UACGUAGGGUGCAAGCGUUAAUCGGAAUUACUGGGCGUAAAGCGUGCGCAGGCGGUUUUGUAAGUCUGUCGUGAAAUCCCCGGGCUCAACCUGGGAAUUGCGAUGGAGACUGCAAGGCUAGAAUCUGGCAGAGGGGGGUAGAAUUCCACGUGUGAGCAGUGGAAAAUGCGUAGAUAUGCGGAGGAACACCGAUGGCGAAGGCAAUCCCUGGACCUGUACUGGACGCUCAUGCACGAAAGCGUGGGGAGCAAACAGGG
rnacentral:rRNA from 1 species